rnacentral:rRNA from 1 species
AUACGUAGGGGGCAAACGUUGCUCGGAAUUACUGGGCGUAAAGGGUGCGCAGGUGGCUGAGAAAGUCGUUGAUGAAAUCCCGGGGCUUACCCCCGGAACUGUCUUCGAUACUUCUCAGCUUGAGGAUAGUCGAGGAGAACGGAAUUCCCGGUGGAGCGGUGAAAUGCGUAGAUAUCGGGAGGAACACCAGAGGCGAAGGCGGUUCUCUAGGCUAAUCCUGACACUGAGGUACGAAAGCUAGGGGAGCGAACGGGAUUAGAUACCCCGGUAGUCCUAGCUGUAAACGAUGGGCACUAGAUGUUUCCGCGUCUCAGCGGGAGUGUCGAAGUUAACGCGAUAAGUGCCCCGCCUGGGGAUUACGGUCGCAAGGCUGAA